GGAAUGUGGCUUAGUGGUAGAGUGCUUGCCUAGCAUGCAUGUAGCCCUGGGUUCAAUUCCCCAGUACCA
rnacentral:tRNA from 1 species